rnacentral:rRNA from 1 species
GACGAACGCUGGCGGCGUGCUUAAUACAUGCAAGUCGAACGGAGUUAAGGGUUUCGGCCUUUAACUUAGUGGCGAACGGGUGGGUAACGCGUGAAUAACCUGACUCAAAGAGGGGGAUAACAACGGGAAACUGUUGCUAAUACCGCAUGAGACCACAACACCGCAUGAUGAAGGGGUCAAAGAUUUAUCGCUUUGAGAGGGGUUCGCGUCCCAUUAGGUAGUUGGAGGGGUAACGGCCCACCAAGCCAACGAUGGGUAGCCGAGCUGAGAGGCUGAUCGGCCACACUGGAACUGAGACACGGUCCAGACUCCUACGGGAGGCAGCAGUAGGGAAUAUUGGGCAAUGGGCGCAAGCCUGACCCAGCAACGCCGCGUGAGGGAAGAAGGUUUUCGGAUUGUAAACCUCUGUCCUAUGUGACGAAGGAAGUGACGGUAGCAUAGGAGGAAGCCCCGGCUAACUACGUGCCAGCAGCCGCGGUAAUACGUAGGGGGCGAGCGUUGUCCGGAAUUACUGGGCGUAAAGGGUGCGUAGGCGGUUUGGUAAGUUGGAUGUGAAAUACCCGGGCUUAACUUGGGGGCUGCAUCCAAUACUGUCGGACUUGAGUGCAGGAGAGGAAAGCGGAAUUCCUAGUGUAGCGGUGAAAUGCGUAGAUAUUAGGAGGAACACCGGUGGCGAAGGCGGCUUUCUGGACUGUAACUGACGCUGAGGCACGAAAGCGUGGGGAGCAAACAAGAUUAGAUACCCUGGUAGUCCACGCCGUAAACGAUGAAU